rnacentral:lncRNA from 1 species
AAAAAAAUAAAGAAAAAAUGUUAUUUUGACUGUAUUGGAAGAUAUUUUUUGCUUGGUUUGGUUUUAAUUUAUUAUUGUAUCUUUUAUGUGCAGGGGUGUUUUGAAUGCAUAUUUGUCUGUGCCCACAUGUAUGCAGUGCCCAUCGAGGCCAGCCAGAAGAGGGUGUCAGAUCCCCUGGAACUAGAGACACGUGCCAAGUUUGCGUGUGGACAAAGGACAACCUAUGGGCGUGAGUUC